GAAGGAAACAGUUUAAAAUGCAAACUAAUAUUGAGGAGCGAACCCCAUUAAUAUAUUCAGAAUAUUCCAUUGGCAACAGACUAGGUGGUACAACAAUUAUAUUCAACCAAAAUGCAACAUAUCGGCGCUAUAAUCAGCUCACCACUUGGUAAACUAUAAAAAUGAUUGGAACAUUUAUGCGGUCUAUUGGAUUGUUGGCUUGGAAGCUUAAGGUCAAGUUUUAUAUAUGUACAUUCGGCAAUUAAAUCUGUUGUGACAAAUGUGCUUUGACAACAUUGAUUUGCAAAAUGCUUGCAAUAGUUACAACUUUAUUUUCGGCAUUAAAUCCAAUGAUAAACCUCUGAAGCAUUUGUUGGGCAUCCUGUCGCCAAUCCUGGUUAAACAAUGCCUCUAUGCGAAAACAUAAGCGUGUCUAUGUUAGCAAUGGACUUACAUAUGUAUAUUUAGGUUAAAAAUAGAAUAAGAUUAUAUUUGAAUUGUUAAAUUAGAAUAUAAAUUGUAUAGUUUAGUUUACUAAAAAUUAAAUGAUUAGUUAUAAUUGUAACAAUUUUAUAAUAAGCUUAACCUGUUUAAGUUUAUGCGAUAUAUAUGUGUAUCUAUCUACAUAAGUAUUUGAAUUUGUA